rnacentral:rRNA from 1 species
UGGGGAAUAUUGGGCAAUGGGCGCAAGCCUGACCCAGCAACGCCGCGUGAAGGAAGAAGGCUUUCGGGUUGUAAACUUCUUUUCUUCAGGGACGAAGAAAGUGACGGUACCUGAGGAAUAAGCCACGGCUAACUACGUGCC